GGAUGUGAGGGCGAUCUGGCUGCAACAUCUGUCACCCCAUUGAUCGCCAGGGUUGAUUCAGCUGAUCUGGCUGGCUAGGUGGGUGUCCCCUUCCUCCCUCACCGCUCCAUCUGCGUCCCUCCCGAAGCUGCGCGCUCGGUGGAAGAGGACGACCAUCCCAGAUAGCAGGAGUGUACCGUUCUUCCGUCAAGGGUAUACGAUAGCUGCGCUCCCCUGCUAGAACCUCCAAACAAACUGCUAGGUUGGCAGGAGCAGGGACCGAGCAACGGGAGCUCACUCCAUCGCGGGGAUUCAAACUGCCGACCUUCUGAU